rnacentral:rRNA from 1 species
ACGCUGGCGGCGUGCCUAACACAUGCAAGUCAACUUGACUGAAGGAGCAAUCUGACAGUAGAGUGGCGCAAGGGUGCGUAACGCGUAAGUAACUUGCCCCAAGGUAAGGAAUAACGUCGAGAAAUCGGCGCUAAUACCUCAUAAUGCAGCGGAUCCGCAUGGAUAUGUUGUUAAAGGUUUACCGCCUUGGGAUAGGCUUGCGUCUGAUUAGUUAGUUGGUGUGGUAACGGCACACCAAGGCUAUGAUCAGUAACUGGUCUGAGAGGAUGAUCAGUCACACUGGAACUGAGACACGGUCCAGACUCCUACGGGAGGCAGCAGUGAGGAAUAUUGGGCAAUGCUCGAAAGAGUGACCCAGCAACGCCGCGUGGAGGAUGAAGGUAUUCUAUAUCGUAAACUCCUGUGAGAGCAGACGAAAGACAGAUUAUUAAUCUGGAUGACUGUAUGCUCAGAGGAAGCCCCGGCUAACUACGUG